ACUGGGACUGAGACACGGCCCAGACUCCUACGGGAGGCAGCAGUGGGGAAUAUUGCACAAUGGGGGAGACCCUGAUGCAGCCAUGCCGCGUGUGUGAAGAAGGCCUUCGGGUUGUAAAGCACUUUCAGCGAGGAGGAAGGGUAAUGUGUUAAUAAGACAUUGCAUUGACGUUACUCGCAGAAGAAGCACCGGCUAACUCCGUGCCAGCAGCCGCGGUAAUACGGAGGGUGCGAGCGUUAAUCGGAAUUACUGGGCGUAAAGCGCAUGCAGGCGGUUUGUUAAGUCAGAUGUGAAAGCCCGGGGCUCAACCUCGGAACCGCAUUUGAAACUGGCAGGCUAGAGUCUUGUAGAGGGGGGUAGAAUUUCAGGUGUAGCGGUGAAAUGCGUAGAGAUCUGAAGGAAUACCAGUGGCGAAGGCGGCCCCCUGGACAAAGACUGACGCUCAGAUGCGAAAGCGUGGGUA
rnacentral:rRNA from 1 species